UACGAAGGGGGCUAGCGUUGUUCGGAAUUACUGGGCGUAAAGCGCGCGCAGGCGGUUCUCCAAGUCAGUGGUGAAAGCCCGGAGCUCAACUCCGGAACUGCCAUUGAAACUGUUGAACUUGAGGACGAGAGAGGUGAGUGGAAUUCCCAGUGUAGAGGUGAGAUUCGUAGAUAUUGGGAAGAACACCAGUGGCGAAGGCGGCUCACUGGCUCGUAUCUGACGCUCAGGCGCGAUAGCGUGGGGAUCAAACAGG
rnacentral:rRNA from 1 species